GUUUAGGUAGUUUAAUUUAGAACGCGGCGCUGAAGUUGCCGAAGUGACUUUUUGUUCCUGAACA
rnacentral:tRNA from 1 species